AGCUCCAGUAGCGUAUAUUAAAGUUGUUGCAGUUAAAAAGCUCGUAGUUGGAUUUCUGGUUGGCGUUCCUGGCCCGCGAACUACAAGUUCUGUGAGUGCCGGCGUGACGCCAGUCAUCUUUCUAGAGACCCUUUCGCGCAUUCAUUUGUUUGAUUGGAUCCUCUCUAGAUCUUUUACUUUGAAAAAAUUAGAGUGUUCAAAGCAGGCUUGUGCUAUGAAUAUAUUAGCAUGGAAUAAUAAUCUAGGACUCUUGUCCUAUUUUGUUGGUUAUAGGACGAAAGUAAUGAUUGAUAGGGAUAGUUGGGGGUGCUAGUACUGUGUGGCCAGAGGUGAAAUUCUUGGAUUCACGCAAGACUAACUUAUGCGAAAGCAUUCACCAAGGAUGUCUUCUUUA
rnacentral:rRNA from 1 species